UAAAGUGGCGACCGGGUGAGUAACACGUGACUAACCUACCUUCGAUGGGGGAUAACCUAGGGAAACCUGGGCUAAUACCGCAUAACAUCUUUGGAGUGGAAAUUCCGCAGAUCAAAGGAGCAAUUCGCUGGAAGAGGGGGUCGCGGCUGAUUAGUUAGUUGGCGGGGUAAUGGCCCACCAAGGCGAAGAUCGGUAUCCGGCCUGAGAGGGCGCACGGACACACUGGAACUGAAACACGGUCCAG
rnacentral:rRNA from 1 species